AAUGUUGGGUUAAGUCCCGCAACGAGCGCAACCCUUAUCCUUUGUUGCCAGCGGUCCGGCCGGGAACUCAAAGGAGACUGCCAGUGAUAAACUGGAGGAAGGUGGGGAUGACGUCAAGUCAUCAUGGCCCUUACGACCAGGGCUACACACGUGCUACAAUGGCAUAUACAAAGAGAAGCGACCUCGCGAGAGCAAGCGGACCUCAUAAAGUAUGUCGUAGUCCGGAUUGGAGUCUGCAACUCGACUCCAUGAAGUCGGAAUCGCUAGUAAUCGUAGAUCAGAAUGCUACGGUGAAUACGUUCCCGGGCCUUGUACACACCGCCCGUCACACCAUGGGAGUGGGUUGCAAAAGAAGUAGGUAGCUUAACCUUCGGGAGGGCGCUUACCACUUUGUGAUUCAUGACUGGGGUGAAGUCGUAACAAGGUAACCGUAGGGGAACCUGCGGUUGGAUCACCUCCUUA
rnacentral:rRNA from 1 species